AGUGCUUCAAAAUGGAAUCCUUGAGGACCUGCUCCAUGAUUUUUCCAGGGACUGAGGAUCCUGAACUCAAUCAUCUCAUGGUCAUUGAUGCCCAAGCUGCCAUCUACUGCUACAUUCCCUACCAAUUCUUCUUCCAGCUGAAUCUUUAAUGGGCUACUUCAUCUCUAGAAGCUGAACUACCUACCGCACUUCAGUGAAGACAUGAUCUAUGGGCACAGAGUGGGACUGCAAACAAAGUUCCAUGAAAGAUGGCAUAAUUAAUCCUAAUAUCUUGGUGUGCAAACUUUAAGCUGUACUAAAGAAUUUACACCAUCAGUGACCAUACCAGCCUGAUGAGUGUUCUCAGGAGUGGAGGUGGGAGAAAUGAAAGAUGCUUAUUUGCAAUCUUUGUAAUCCUUGGGGGAUAAACCAAAUAGGAAAACCAAAACUCUUUUGUUUAUCCUUGUGGGUAAUUCAAUUUCAUCUCAUUUGGAACAUGACAGAAAGAUGAAAACUAAAAUGGAAACAGCUUUUGAAUUAAAGGCAAUCUUUUCAAAUCAAUCAACAUUAAAGAAGAAAGGAAUUGGAACAAUAAGUGAAUGACAUGCGCUAUUGCUUGGAAACUUUUGAAAUCCUAGCUCUGUAAACAAAACGAAAAUAUUUUAUAUUUGUAUAUUGAUGGGACUAAUUUCAUCACUCAAAUUCCCUGAAACCAUACUAGAUAGGGUGAGUCCAGUCAUAUACUUAUACUGCUCCAUGACGUUUUUUGAAACAUAAUCCCAUCUUUCAACAUUAUGCUAAUCUCAAAACAGCUAAAUAUUUGCUUCCUUCAACACAGAAUAUCCAAUUUAUACAAUAUUUUAUAUUGCUUAUAAAAUAUACAAUAUAUAAGCAACCUACUCUGCCUUUAGUAGCUAGUAAGGUAUGAAGUAGUGCAAAGGAUAACUGCCGGUAGGUUUCCAGAAGUGUUCAAGAUGUACAGAGCCCAAUUUUCGAUUAGAAGGGAUAUAUAAAAGAUUUCUAGAUCUCAUAUUUGGAUCUUCAGAUGAGUCCACCUAUAUGCCUAUAUUCCACUUCGAGGGAUUCAGACAUCCUAUUAAGAAGCCUGUGUUGGAAGAGUUCUUUUAAAGCAACAACAACAACAAAAAACCUUAUGAACUACACAGUUUUUCACCAGGUGUCAUUAAAAAUGCCAAUAAACAGAAGCAUGAGUGAAGUUAAAUUUAAGUUCUUGCACACAAAAGUUUUCCCUCAGUUUCACACUUAGUUGCAUAAUAGAGUACAUUAAAAAUGGCUUUUAUUUGAAAUGCAUGGAGUGUUUUUUCCCUUCAUGAUUUUAUUUACUUCCACAUAUCCAAAUACACUUUAAUUAUGCAUCUGCAUAAUGUGUCCAAUUCCAGGAAGUGCAUAUAGUUAUAUUAGAGUGACAUUAAUGCCAUAAUGAUUCAGGAAUUAUGCAAGAGUCAAUCAUUUUGGGGGAGUGAUAUCUUUGAAUGUCUUUGAAUCAUUUGAAUGUCUGAUUUGAAUUGACUUGAUGAAGAAUAUCUUGCAUUCAAAAGUUUGGCUUACUUUAUUUCAACCAUGCAGUUGGUCCAUUAAAGAUGCCCCCCCACCUCCAC